UCUAAAAUGGCAGAUUAGUGUAUUGAACUUAAGCCUCAAAAAUAAAUUUUUUUAAAUUUUUUUAGAA
rnacentral:tRNA from 1 species